rnacentral:rRNA from 1 species
GGUGAACGCUAGCGGCAGGCUUAACACAUGCAAGUCGAGGGGUAUAGUUCUUCGGAACUAGAGACCGGCGCACGGGUGCGUAACGCGUAUGCAAUCUACCUUUUGCAGAGGGAUAGCCCAGAGAAAUUUGGAUUAAUACCUCAUGGUAUGUGAGAAUGGCAUCAUUUUCACAUUAAAGUCACAACGGCAAAAGAUGAGCAUGCGUCCCAUUAGCUUGUUGGUAAGGUAACGGCUUACCAAGGCAACGAUGGGUAGGGGUCCUGAGAGGGAGAUCCCCCACACUGGUACUGAGACACGGACCAGACUCCUACGGUAGGCAGCAGUGAGGAAUAUUGGACAAUGGGCGCAAGCCUGAUCCAGCCAUGCCGCGUGCAGGAUGACGGUCCUAUGGAUUGUAAACUGCUUUUGUACAGGAAGAAACACUGGUUCGUGAACCAGCUUGACGGUACUGUAAGAAUAAGGAUCGGCUAACUCCGUGCCAGCAGCCGCAGUAAUAC